rnacentral:tRNA from 1 species
CUGCUGCUGGCCGGUGGUGUCGUAGCCGUACUGCUGCUGGUCGUACCCGGUGUAGCCGUCGUAGCCGUAGCCCUGGUCCGUGCCCUGGGAGGCGGUC